GACGAACGCUGGCGGCGUGCCUAAUACAUGCAAGUUGAGCGAUGAAGAUUGGUGCUUGCACCAAUUUGAAGAGCAGCGAACGGGUGAGUAACGCGUGGGGAAUCUGCCUUUGAGCGGGGGACAACAUUUGGAAACGAAUGCUAAUACCGCAUAAUAACUUUAAACAUAAGUUUUAAGUUUGAAAGAUGCAAUUGCAUCACUCAAAGAUGAUCCCGCGUUGUAUUAGCUAGUUGGUGAGGUAAAGGCUCACCAAGGCGAUGAUACAUAGCCGACCUGAGAGGGUGAUCGGCCACAUUGGGACUGAGACACGGCCCAAACUCCUACGGGAGACAGCAGUAGGGAAUCUUCGGCAAUGGACGAAAGUCUGACCGAGCAACGCCGCGUGAGUGAAGAAGGUUUUCGGAUCGUAAAACUCUGUUGGUAGAGAAGAACGUUGGUGAGAGUGGAAAGCUCAUCAAGUGACGGUAACUACGCAGAAAGGGACGGCUAACUACGUG
rnacentral:rRNA from 1 species